AUUGAACGCUGGCGGCAGGCCUAACACAUGCAAGUCGAGCGGAUGAAGGGAUCUUGCUCCUGGAUUCAGCGGCGGACGGGUGAGUAAUGCCUAGGAAUCUGCCUGGUAGUGGGGGAUAACGUCCGGAAACGUGCGCUAAUACCGCAUACGUCCUGAGGGAGAAAGUGGGGGAUCUUCGGACCUCACGCUAUCAGAUGAGCCUAGGUCGGAUUAGCUAGUUGGUGGGGUAAAGGCCUACCAAGGCGACGAUCCGUAACUGGUCUGAGAGGAUGAUCAGUCACACUGGGACUGAGACACGGUCCAGACUCCUACGGGAGGCAGCAGUGGGGAAUAUUGGACGCUGGGCGGAAGCCUGAUCCAGCCAUGCCGCGUGUGUGAAGAAGGUCUUCGGAUUGUAAAGCACUUUAAGUUGGGAGGAAGGGCAGUAAGUUAAUACCUUGUUGUUUUGACGUUACCAACAGAAUAAGCACCGGCUAACUUCGUG
rnacentral:rRNA from 1 species